UAGCAAAUUAAAACACUCCAUAGUUCACGGAGCUAUGUUCUAUGGACUACAGGCUGCCCGAAUCCCUCCUCCUAAGAAGACUUGAUUUCUACAUUUGGCUCUGCUUUGCCAAUAGCACACUUCCUGACAUGUGGGAAAUUCAGGCCAAUGAGAACAUUAUGCAUGGCAUGGGCAGAGCAGUUGAGUGAGUU